rnacentral:rRNA from 1 species
UACGUAGGCAGCAAGCGUUGUUCGGAAUUACUGGGCGUAAAGAGUGUGUAGGCGGUGUUCCAAGUCUGGUGUGAAAUCUCCCGGCUUAACUGGGAGGGUGCAUUAGAAACUGGAAUGCUAGAGGAUGGGAGAGGUAAGCGGAAUUCCUGGUGUAGCGGUGAAAUGCGUAGAUAUCUGGAGGAACACCGGUGGCGAAGGCGGCAUCCUGGACCGGUAUUGACGCUGAGGCGCGAAAGCCAGGGGAGCAAACGGG